rnacentral:misc_RNA from 1 species
GGUCUAUUUGGAUACCAUGAACAAUUUGCAGUUUAGAUUUGACUUAACAAAACCAGAUUUCCUAGAAUAAUAUUGAUCAUCACAAACUGAUGUUUUGCAAGCCAAGAAAUUGUUUUGAUCAAGACUCUAAAGGAUUAAUUAACUAAUCUGCCCAUCAGACAGCAUAAUGUGCAGGACGGCACACAGAACAGUAGAUACUAACUUGCAAUCUUGCAUAUGGAUUCAAUGUUAAUGGCAAAUAUUCCCAGUAUAAUUUCAAACAACAUUGCAGUACAUCAAUGGAAUAAAUGUUACAUUCUCUAAAAGGCCACUCAGAUUAUAGACCUACCCGACGUUGUCUUCUAAGUAGUAUAUUGCAAGGGCAAAAUUCCAAACAGCAAGGGCUGCCACAAAGACAUUGCAGGCCCUUAGACCGCACCGUGAUUCCCCCAUAACUAAAAGUGAGCUGUUCUCCUUCUUUUAUGUCCUUAAGAGCAAAGAAACGCAGAUGAGGCAACAAAGCUCCUGAACUUCUCACUAGCAUCGUUGACACUUGACAGAUUACCACCAUCGCAAGAAUGGCUGAUGAAUCUUUCAACAUUUCCCGUUCCAGUGGCAACAAGGUGAAAUAUGCUCUCUCAAACAAGCCUUUCCCGAAGAAAGAUGCUCUCUCACAAAGAGAUGAAGAAAAUCGGUCACCGGGUGCUAGCUCAUCACAGAUUUGUUGACGGCUUCUGGCUUCUUUGGUUGUCAAGAGUUCACCUGUUCAAGCAAAGUUCAAUCAGAAUGAAGUCUAAAACAAGACAGAUAAUCACAGGCAAUCACUUCUGGACCAGAAUGCUCCAAGAAACAAGAUUUCAUGUCCAUGGGAUAAGAUAUACAACAAAAAAUAAUAAAAUAACAGAGAUCAAAGAGAAAGAACAAACAAAUACAAACCACCUGAUAAGCACAAAACUUUAAACAGUUUAAUGAAUAUUAAUAUAAUAGUAAACACUUCUCCUAUUUGACUAAAUGUAAUGGGACAUAAAAUCCAUAAGAGGCAUAUGUGUGAAUAUAAGAAUUGGCAGCAUUAAAGCGAAUACCUCAAUUAUUUUAGCAGAUCAAUCACAAAAACACAUCACUGCAUAUGUUCAGUAUUUCCUAUUUCAUCCCAGUACUAAAAUGCUAAACUUUGCUUCAAAUGGGAAUGUAAACUACUCAAAAGCACCAUACACCGAUUUUCUCCUAUAAUCCCUCUCUCUGAUUGCAUAUAUAGUGUUUAUCAGUUCAGUGAAUUUCUUUGCCAAGAACUCGCAACAAGUACCAGGCUUCUUAACAAUUGGCUCCUAUGAUUCUACCACCUAGCUUUAGUUACAAUAUAGUUAUAUUACCAAUCACAUAGGAUAAUCUACCAUCAAUAUCCUCCCAAAAAUGUCACAUAAGCAGAAUCCAGAGUCCCAAGAUUGCAUAGUUAUUGCUGAAAUAACAGAAUGCCCUUUUUUUUCCAUUUCCAAAAUCAAAUCAAUGGGUGACAGAAAACAUAUACCAGCAUAUUCGCAAACAAAUUGGCCUUGCCGAAUCAGCUGAUCAGCAUACAAGCACCAUCCUUUCUUCUCAUCCCUCAAAAUCUUCAACUUAACAGAAAGCCCUCUCUGAGUCAACCGAUUCCUGCAAUCCAAUCCACACUCACAACUCAGUCCGCACUCGCUCAUUAUGCCCAUCUCCAGCUCGUCCAAGCCCAAAAGUUCACACCCAGAUGCACCUCCCUGCUCGCACCCUUCACAAUCACAAUCACACCCAGAUACGCUCUCCCCGACUAGGCACAUGGAGGCAGCAAAACGCGAGGAGCCCCAAGGUUGGCGUUGGGGAGACUGAGAAGGAAGGAUUUGAGAUGGGGUAUAUAGGAAGAAGGCAUAAGGGCGGUGAUCGACUGCGUUAUGAAAUGGCACAGGAAGGUUCUCAAGGGAUCUGGAAGCGUCAAAGGAUCGUUGGAUAGUGAUUUUUUUGGAGAAUUGGGAUAGGGAUUUGCAGGUCAAGGAGAUGCAGGCAAGCUCUUGUGGGGUUAGCCAUGGAAGGAUAAGCUCUGCGCUGUGGAUCAAAGGAUGAUGCUUAUUUGGGUCUUCUUCUUCUUCGCAGUUGCUCUUUUUCUUCGCUUGCUCGCACAUCUUCAC